GAUGAACGCUGGCGGCGUGCCUAAUACAUGCAAGUCGAGCGAACGGACGAGAAGCUUGCUUCUCUGAUGUUAGCGGCGGACGGGUGAGUAACACGUGGAUAACCUACCUAUAAGACUGGGAUAACUUCGGGAAACCGUAGCUAAUACCGGAUAAUAUUUUGAACCGCAGGGUUCAAAAGUGAAAGACGGUCUUGCUGUCACUUAUAGAUGGAUCCGCGCUGCAUUAGCUAGUUGGUACGGUAACGGCUUACCAAGGCAACGAUGCAUAGCCGACCUGAGAGGGUGAUCGGCCACACUGGAACUGAGACACGGUCCAGACUCCUACGGGAGGCAGCAGUAGGGAAUCUUCCGCAAUGGGCGAAAGCCUGACGGAGCAACGCCGCGUGAGUGAUGAAGGUCUUCGGAUCGUAAAACUCUGUUAUUAGGGAAGAACAUAUGUGUAAGUAACUGUGCACAUCUUGACGGUACCUAAUCAGAAAGCCACGGCUAACUACGUG
rnacentral:rRNA from 1 species